rnacentral:rRNA from 1 species
GUGUGGAGUCGUUGUUGAAAUACCACUCUGGUCAAUCUGGAUGUCUAACUUCGGGCCAUGAUCUGGUUCAGGGACAGUGCCUGAUGGGUAGUUUAACUGGGGCGGUUGCCUCCUAAAGUGUAACGGAGGCGCCCAAAGGUUCCCUCAGCCUGGUUGGCAAUCAGGUGUUGAGUGUAAGUGCACAAGGGAGCUUGACUGUGAGACUGGCAGGUCGAGCAGGGACGAAAGUCGGGACUAGUGAUCCGGCGGUACGUUGUGGAACGGCCGUCGCUCAACGGAUAAAAGGUACCUCGGGGAUAACAGGCUGAUCUUGCCCAAGAGUCCAUAUCGNNNNNNNNNNGUUCGGUCCCUAUCCGCUGCGCGCGUUGGAAAUUUGAGAAAGGCUGUCCUUAGUACGAGAGGACCGGGACGGACGAACCUCUGGUAUGUCAGUUGUACCGCCAGGUGCAUGGCUGAUUGGCUACGUUCGGGAGGGAUAACCGCUGAAAGCAUCUAAGCGGGAAGCCUGUUUCGAGAUGAGAUUUCCUGGCACUUUGGUGUGUGAGGCUCCUUAUAGAUGAUGAGGUUGAUAGGCCGGGUAUGGAAGCGAGGACUGAAGACUCGUGGAGUUGACUGGUACUAAUAGGCCGAAGGCUUACUUUU